CUGCUCCGCCGUCCCCUGGAUUUCGCUCGGGAGGAGCAAGCAGGGGUUUCAAACCCGCGAACCUGUCAUUUAUAGGCUCGUUAAGGGAGGGUGAGGGACGGAUUUAGGUUUGAUGAGGCCCUAAGCUACUGAAGGUAAUGGGGCCCUUUAUAUGUCCAGCUGUCCUUUGUCAACAACAAAUUGUCGCUGUGUUUUGUGUUGAAUAUAUGCUAUAUGGUAAUUUAUGAACCUAAUAGGUAUCUAAAGCCAUUUGCCACUGUUGCUGUAUGUAGGUUUUAUUUUAUUUGUUUUUUAUCUUAUGUUUUGGGAAUGUACAUCCACUUUUUUCCCCUUUAAAUUUUUUGGGGGCCCCCAAGAGAGUGGGGCCCUUAGCUAUAGCUUGUUUAGCUUAUACAUAAAUCCAGCACUGAGAAAGUGCAGCAUCUUCUCCAAAGGCAUCUCUGGAUAUGAGACUGACGUUCAAGCGCAUUCCUUUGGUUUCAAAAAACUCAGUAUGAGAAGCAUAAUGUCUGUCCUUCGAAAUGCCGGACUUCCUUGGAAGGUUUUCCAGCCAUUCCCUCCCCUUGUCAAAGGAAAUGGACGGAGACGGGGGGGGGGGUGGAACUACACCUGAUGGCUGCACAUUCGGCGGAAUGCCUUAUUUAAUUUAUUGUUUUUAUUUAUGUGUUUUUUUCUAUUUUAAUGUUAUGUUGUGAACCAUGGGUAUAGGGCGGUAUACGAACAAAAUAAAUACUGCAUAUCUUAGAAUUGCCUAAGAUUUCAAAAAGUGAAAACCCGGACACAAAAGUUGUUGAAUGGCAAAGUUCAAAAAAAUUAAUAAUGGACAUUUCAGCAAUUUUUGUCCGGACACUGUCGUAUUCCGGCUGUGUCCGGGAAAUUUCAGCUACGGGCUUGGCUUGCAAAAGCUGUUUUAAUUUUUCUAAAACACCAUGAGAACUCCAUCAACUCCUUUCUGACUGACCCUUGUAUCAAAAUCUGCUCACAUUUUGCUGUCAAAAGCAGCAGGAGGCACUGUGACUGCAUAAAAUAACUAAAGUUAAUCCUCUCUGUCCUGAUGUGUAAGAGCAUUUAUAUCUGGUCUUUAACUUAUGUUAAAAUACUUAAUACAACACUACCCAGGAGGCAAAAUGACAAGCAUCCAUCAUUUUUGAGCAUUCAAAGAUGUUUUUAUCUGAGAUCACGUUUUAUGGAAUGUCUUUUCCAAUGACACACAAUGUGUCACAAAUCCUUCUGGAAUUGCAAUAUAAUAUUACCUACAGCCAUUCUGACAAUGUUAUGUUAACUUAACGAUGCUGUUGGUUUGUGAGCUACCUAAAGACCUCAUCCACAUUGUGCUAAUUAUUACCAUCACUUCAUUGUCCAUUUUCUUUCCAUGGUGAGUGUGAAGUUGGGCAAAGAGCUGUUGUACAUUAUGGUUUCCAAGUGGGGUCUGGGACCCAUUCUCCUCCUGGUCUUAAAUGAGGAAUGCCAACUCUUUUUCUGGGCAGAGCUCUUGUGCCUUUAACAGCAGGGAGAGUCUGUGAAGUUGACUGCAGCAACAAAGCAAUUAAUUAAUGGCUUGUAAGUAUGAAGGGAGCAAGGGAAAUAACAGAGUUUUAGUAGUGAGUGGAAAGAUAUUGUCUGGAUGCCAGGUCUACCAGAGGAUGAACAUCAGGUCCACACCCUUCUUCUUUGGUGAUCAAUCAUAGCUGAGUAAGCUCAUGUCUUCCAUGAGCACAGUCUUAAUGAUGUGUCCGUAGGUGACUGUGGAAGCCAAUUCUGGAUCCACAAUGAGGAUAUAUGUUUCUGGGUGGGAGUUGAUCACGGUGAGGGUUUGCCAAACUUGCCUUCCUCUUAGCUCGUUUCUCCCUUUCGUCCUGAGUUUGAGUGUCUUCAAAGCCCAUGUCUCCUUUGGUAAAGGCUGUUCUCCGUUGAAGCACUCGCAGGAAGAUGAUUUUGUAUUUUUCAUUACAGUGGUGCCCCGCAAGACGAAUGCCUCGCAAGACGAAAAACUCGCUAGACAAAAGAGUUUUCCGUUUUUUGAGUCAUUCCGCAAGACGAAUUUCCCUAUGGGCUUGCUUCGCAAGAUGAAACGUCUUGCGAUUUCUUGCGAGUUUGUUUCCUUUUUCUUAAAGCCGCUAAGCCGUUAAUAGCCGCUAAGCCGCUAAUAGCUGCUAAGCCGCUAAACCGCUAAUAGCCGUGCUUCGCAAGACGAAAAAACCGCAAGACGAAGAGACUCGCGGAACGGAUUAAUUUUGUCUUGCGAGGCACCACUGUAUCUGGAAACGUAGAGUAGACCCAUUCAAUCGGAGACAUAUCAAUAGACUGCUAUUACAACAGGAAGCCCGGUACAUCCAUUUACUUAAGACCAUGACCCCUAUGGGUCUGAAUAGCUAUCAGGAUUAUACAUCAUUUCUUUAAGACCUCAAAUUAAACUGCAGCUGUCCUUCUGAACUUUAGAACUCUAUGCCUGUAAGAAGAUCUAGGGGAUCUCAUCUACCCCUUUAAGUGCAUAUAAAAGGUGAUAGGCUCACUUCCAAAUUGAAAAUGCACAGAAAAGCUCAAGAUACACGUUGAUCUACCCACACGUAGGUGAGGAAUCAUAUGAUUAUUUGCUGCCUUAGAGUUUUUAAUUUAAUUCAACACAUGUAAUUAUUAUUAAUAUUGAUUAUUUUCAGUUGUUAUCCCUGAGAAACGUAGAAAAUAACAGGAUAUCCGAAAGUCUUUAAACUUACACGACCCUUUAAAAAUUAGGUAAGGAACCAAAUGUUAUAUAAUACUGUUUUAUAAUUUAUGACUGUUUUAUAAUUUAUGAUAAUUUAGAAUUUAAAUGUAUUUUCAUGUAAUAUUUGAUACUUCCAGCUGUUGAAGGUGAAUACAUGGAAACAGGGCCCUGUCCUGGUUUCUAAUCCAUAAUUGACUUCUGACUUCUGCUUUAUGAUUGAAACUAAGACCUUCACAAGACCUCCACGUCGAAUCUGACUAUGGACUAACAUAAACUUCUCUACUCAUAAACUCUUAUCUCUAAUUCUGUAACGAAUUAUUGUGUUAUACAUAUCUUUAUGUGUUUGAAUUUGUUAUCUCUAUUUGAAUUUGUAAUCCUUGUCAGAAUACAUACUGUUGAAUGGAUUAGUUUUUGUUACUAUUGACUAUUGAUAUGCGAGUAGGGACCACUCCCACUGUUGAAACACACAUUGGCCUGAGUUCUUGGUGUGCUUUUUUCUUGGUACAAUCAACGGAACCGGCCAUGGGCCAUAUCCGGUCUAUGGGCCUUAGGUUGCCAACCUCUGUGUAAGACCAUUGGAAAACAUAUAUUUCCGAUGGUCUUAGGAACUGAGACACCGCUCCUAUAUCAGUCUCCAGGUGGGUCCGCCCACAUGCAGAUACGCCCACAUACGAGUACCCGGCGUAAUGACAUCAUUGUGCCAUCCCCAUCACAUACACCCCUUACAAAUACAGGUGUCUGUGACAGGGUUGGCGCCAUAAUGUACUUAUCCGGACCAGUCACACAUGUGUAGAAAGCAGCUGCUGUGUUGAAAGCAGCUUUCAGUGUGCUUUUCAAGUUGCACUGGCUCCCGGUGGAGUACAGGGUCAGAUUUAAGGUGCUGCUUUUGACCUUUAAAGCCCUUCACGGCCUAGGACCCUCGUACCUACGGGACCGCCUCUCCUGGUAUGCUCCACGGAGAGCCUCAAGGUCCAUAAAUAACAACACCCUAGUGGUCCCAGGCCCUAAGGAAGUUAGACUGGCUUCAACCAGAGUCAGGGACUUUUCAACUCUGGCUCCGGCCUGGUGGAACGCUCUGCCUCAUGAGACCAGGGCCCUGCAGGAUCUGAUUUCUUUCCGCAGGGCCUGUAAGACAGAGUUGUUCCGCCUGGCCUUUGGCUUGGAGCCAGUUUGAUUCCCUCCCUCCCUCUCUUUUUUCUUUUCCUUCUCCUCCUGCAAUGAGGCUACAUUUUAAUAUUUUAAUGUUCCAUUAUUUUAAUGUUGUACUUUAUUUUUGUUUUUAAGUUGUAAUCAUUCAUCUUGUUUUUAUUAUUGCUUGUAAGCCGCUGUGAGCCCGGCCAUGGCUGGGGAGGGUGGGGUAUAAAUAAAAAUUAUUAUUAUUAUUAUUAUUAUUGGUAAAAUGACACUUCAUGAAUUAUAAUUACUG